UGGGGAAUAUUGGACGAUGGGCGAAAGCCUGAUCCAGCCAUGCCGCGUGUGUGAAGAAGGUCUUCGGAUUGUAAAGCACUUUAAGCUGGGAGGAAGUGUACUUACCUAAUACGUGAGUAUUUUGACGUUACCGACAGAAUAAGCACCGGCUAACUCUGUGCCAGCAGCCGCGGUAAUACAGAGGGUGCAAGCGUUAAUCGGAAUUACUGGGCGUAAAGCGCGCGUAGGUUGUUUGUUAAGUUGGAUGUGAAAGCCCCGGGCUCAACCUGGGAACUGCAUCCAAAACUGGCAAGCUAGAGUGUGGUAGAGGGGGGUGGAAUUUCCUGUGUAGCGGUGAAGUGCGUAGAUAUAGGAAGAAACACCAGUGGCGAAGGCGACCACCUGGACUGAUACUGACACUGAGGUGCGAAAGCGUGGGGAGCAAACA
rnacentral:rRNA from 1 species